AAAGGAGAUCAGAGAAGGAAUUAAACCCUUUAACGGUCGCGCAAGGAGCGAACAAGGAGCCUGUACACGUGUCGCUGUGUUACUGUGCAACGUACUAUAGAAAGAAAAUCGCUGGUAGGUCAUCCCUCGCACCGGAAGAUCUUUUUUUCUCUCGCUCCCUCUCAUUUUCCCACCCCAACCUAGGGUUGCCGCCGCCACCGCCGCCCCCAUCGCUCCUCUAGCGCUGCCCAUCGGAGGACGGCUCACUUCUCCUCUGCUUCUUCUUUCACCCUGCUCCAUCCCGACCAGCGCCACCCCCGCCCCUUUUCUCUCGUCGGCUAUUGUCGAUGAGCAUGGCGGCGGCGGCGUUGAGAGCCUCAUGGGGGACAUCCAGGCAGAUGAAGGGGUGGCGGCAUGGAUCUGGUGACGGUGGUGUCGGAGCUUGAGGCCGAGAGGACUUCGACCCUAGGCCCUCGCCGUCUGCCUCCUUUUCAUCUUUUUUUGCUCGUGCUGCUCGUUAUCUACAUGGGUCGUCGACGAAGAAGUCAGGGAGGAGCGGAUGCUAUCUAGGGAGGUGGCUCGGACCAGAUCGACCAUGGCGAUGGCAUCGUUGACUCCCUGCUGGCCUUGCAGUUUUGCAAUUUAGGUAUCAAAGGAAUUAGGUAUUAUCAGCAUGAAUACUAUUUACACAGUCUGUUCUUUUAUUUAGAUUGACCGUCUUUGAAGUAAUUGACAUGUAGACUGCUGCAAAAUGAAUCAGUAAUGUUUAAAUUAACUUUAAAAACUUGCCAGGUUGGAUAUAUCUUUGUCAGAUAUUUAUAUCAUUGUUUUUCUUCUGUUCAUUUGUUGGGUAGGGCCGAGACCAGUGGGUUCAUUGCUAGGGGCUAUUGUAUUUGUCUUGCUACCGACUGUAGAUGUGAUCACUGAUUCUCAUUGACUGUAGUUGUAGUUUCAGAAGUAGGAUGGCUAGCAGUCAUCAUAUAUUGGUUAAGUUGCAUUUGUUUUGGGUACAACAAGAUGAUGAUCAAGAGAAUCCCGAUGAAAAGCAUCAUGCUGAUUCUGAUGUGGAAAUAGAUGAUGCCAAGCCUUUGGAGGAAUCUGAAAGGAGAAGCAAUACUCAAGAGUGCGAGAGUUGACAGAGAAUGUGCGAGAGUUAAGCAGUAUUGUAGUAGAUCACAUUUCAGGGAUACCAUUGAUUUAUUUUGCUCUUCUUACUUUUAUUAGAUAGGCCACAUUCUUUUUCUUUUACUCGUGCCUUUGUUGCUGACGGUGCUGUUGUGUAAAUUCAACAUUGAUGUUUAGUGUUAUGACAUGGUUUACACAAGCUGAAAUUUUGAUCCCUUGGAUGUUGCAGGUGCUGACAAUCUAAUUCCGAUGGAACUGGCCCUUAAAAUUACAACCAAGAUUACAGUUGGUAUGAGUUACUUGCUGAGAGUCAGAAAUUACAACCAAGAUUUUGUAACACGACUUUUAAACCAAGAGAUUUUUCAUCUUAGAUGCUACCGACAUGAGCUGGUAAUGUCGUGCUACCAUGGAGAAAACAUAGCUAGGGCGCUCCCCGGCCUGGAGCUCUGCUACUCCAUGACGCGGAGGUUCCUCGACAAGCAGACGGCGGUGGUCGGGCAGGUGUAGCCCGCGGCAGCGCUGCCCAUCCUGGACUGGAAGAUCUCCGUUCCUGGUAAUACUUGUUUCCUGUACACCUGCUUUUUUAUUUUGGUAAGGUUUCAUUUUUCGGGUGGUGCCAACGGUGGAACUUUGUUCUUGUUAUUUGGUGUGCGGGCUCUCUGAUUUUGAGAUGACUAGAGGUAAACUUCAGUUCAGAGUAUUAGAUUGUUUGGUUUAAUUAAGUCAGUGGGUGAGGGGUUUCAUGUUUAGAUUUCAGUGUAGUAUAGUAGUAUCCUGAAUUCUUAUGCUGUAAUGUGAAUUCUAAAGAUAUAAGAAAUCCAUGCAGAAUAUUUUGCUGUUUGCACCAAACAAUAUGCAUCCAAGUUAUUGCACAUUAAUGGGGAAUUAUGUAACCAGUAGUACGCGACAUUUUAUAUGAAUGUAUGAUUUUGAUCAUUCAUGUUCCCUCCGAAUCUUGCUUAUUAACAACACUUUUCUCAGUUUGUUCCAUGUAUAUAGUGUAUUAGACUACUGUUCACUAUCUAUCAAUCCUAUCUUCAUGUACCUGUGUGUGUUUGGUACAGUACUUGAUCUCUUAUGAUUUAGGGAGCUCUUCAGAAUCUGAGAAGAAAUUGAUAGGACCAUCCCGAUGUCUGGGUUUCGGCAUGGUGGUGAGGUGCCUGAGGUCAUGGCUCUGAGUCAGGAACCUCUUAUUGAGCGUGCUUCAUGGUGGUGACGUAUGUCUCGAUGAUAGUCCAGUUUGAUAAAAUGCCAAUAGGAGCAGGUCUGUGAAGCCAAUAGGAGCCGGUCAGUAAACUAGUGAUGCAGUCUCACUGUUCAUCGUCUCUAGACGCACCUAUAUGAUCCAUGUAUCUAGUUUCUCUCCAAAACUUGUGAUGCCUGCGUUGUGAUGAUCCGAGUAACUCUGCCUCUAUUUUGGAGAUCGCCCAUCUUUUGGAGACCGCUGAACUUUGAUUUGAACCGCUGAAUGUGUCUUUGUGAUCAGUCAUCCACUUUGUAAGAUUGUCAA